GACGAACGCUGGCGGCGUGCCUAAUACAUGCAAGUCGAGCGCAGGAAAUCAUCCGAACCCUUCGGGGGGGACGUUGAUGGAAUGAGCGGCGGACGGGUGAGUAACACGUAAAGAACCUGCCCUCAGGUCUGGGAUAACCACGAGAAAUCGGGGCUAAUACCGGAUGGGUCAUCGGACCGCAUGGUCCGAGGAUGAAAGGCGCUUCGGCGUCGCCUGGGGAUGCCUUUGCGGUGCAUUAGCUAGUUGGUGGGGUAAUGGCCCACCAAGGCGACGCUGCACAGCCGACCUGAGAGGGUGGUCGGCCACACUGGGACUGAGACACGGCCCAGACUCCUACGGGAGGCAGCAGUAGGGAAUCUUCCACAAUGGACGAAAGUCUGAUGGAGCAACGCCGCGUGAACGAUGAAGGCCUUCGGGUCGUAAAGUUCUGUUGUAAGGGAAGAACAAGUGCCGCAGGCAAUGGCGGCACCUUGACGGUACCUUGCGAGAAAGCCACGGCUAACUACGUGCCAGCCGCCGCCGUAAGAC
rnacentral:rRNA from 1 species